rnacentral:rRNA from 1 species
AUGAGUAAGCGGAGCGGCCUGCUCUGCGUCCUGCUCUUGUCGCUGGUGGUGCUGCUGCAGGCUGCCUCUCUCCGCUUGCCCGUGGCCGCAGGCAGCAACCGCCAGCUCGUCGUUGCUGCUGCUGCUGCUCGGAUUGGAGACGAAUUUUUGUGUCAAGAUCCGAUCGGGCGACCCAGCAGCAGCAGCGUCAUGUUCAGCAAUGCUGGCGACGAGCUCAGCAGCCUACCCGCUGCUCCUGCUGCCGCCUUCACCCAACAGGGCUUCACUGCUCCUGGUGCCGCCUUCAACCAAGAGGGCUUCACUGCUCCUGCUGAUGCCUUCACCCAAGAGGGCUUCCUUGGUGACGAAGCCUUCUCAUCAGGUGACAAAUACCCAAAAGAAGAUGAAGACGAACUGCUAUCCGGUGAUGGAUAUUCAAGAGAUCCCGAGAGAUCUGUUGAAGAAGAAGGGCCUCUAGGCGAAGAAGAGGAAGACGGAGAUGAUCUGUUGCUCAGCGUUAAACAAGGUCCUCAAGUUGAGCCUAGCAGCAACAACUAUGAAUUGGAUGGGAGCAGUGCCAACGUGCAGUGCCCUGAGUGCGGGAAGCUCUUCAGGAACGACAAGUCCAUGUUCGGUCAUCUCCGAAGCCAUCCCAAUAGGGGGUACAAAAAGGGUUCUGGUCAUCUCAAAAGCCGUCCAAGCAAAGGCUACAAACCACCUGCCAGGCCCAGGCCACUGCCGAGCCGCAACGGUAAACUGUCGCAACUGCCGAGCCGCAACGGUAAUCUGUCGCCACCUGCCAACGACAGCAGUCGCGUGGCCAGGUACAGCCAGCGUGAUCCCGAAUUAAGUAGAUUUGAAGUAAUGAUCGCUUACGUGAUGCUCACGCUUAAGCAACGCGGUGAUGGGGUAGCGCAGGAUCAGUCUCACAAGAGAAAGCAUGAGUCCAGCGAACUAGAUGUUCCUGAAGAAGAUUUGGUAAGGAACCAAGCAGGAGAUGAUGUCAUGCUCGGUGAUAACCAUGGCACCUCUGUUGCUGAGAUGCUAGGAGAUGAUGUGGUGCACCGUAGCGAACAAGGCAGUUCCCUUGUGGAGAUGGCAGUAGAUGAUGCCGUGCUCGGUGAUAAACAUGGCACCUCUGUUGCUGAGAUGCCAGGAGAUGAUGCGGUGCACCGUAGCGAACAAGGCAGUUCCCUUGUGGAGAUGGCAGUCGAUGAUGUCGUGCUCGGUGAUAAACAUGGCACCUCAGUUNNNNNNNNNNCAGGAAAUAAUGUCGUGCUCGGUGAUAAACAUGGUACCUCAGUUGCUGAGAUGCCAGGAGAUGAUGCGGUCUACCGUAGCGAACAAGGCAGUUCCCUUGCGGAGAUGGCAGGAGCUGACGUGGUGCUCCCGAACGAGCACCACGGUUCUGCUGCAGUGAUGGCAGGAGAUGACGUGGUGCACCGUAGCGAACAAGGCAGUUCCCUUGCAGAGAUGGCAGGAGAUGAUGUCAUGCUCGGUGAUAAACAUGGCACCUCAGUUGCUGAGAUGCCAGGAGAUGAUGCGGUGCACCGUAGCGAACAAGGCAGUUCCCUUGCAAAGAUGGCAGGAGAUGACGUGGUGCUCCCAAACGAGCACCACGGUUCUGUUGCAGUGAUGGAAGGAGAUGUGGUAGUUCGCAACGAACAUGGCAAUGUCGAGGUACCAAGGAAGAAGGGGAGGAAGAAGUCCAAAGAAAGCACAGAGGCACGUAGAAAGGAGAAGGUGCCCAGUGCAAGUACGGUCAAGCGUUCUUACACAUGCAAGCAAUGCAAGGCAGAAUUCCCCACACAUCAAGCUCUGGGCGGGCACAUGGCUGCGCACAACAAGGACAAGAGGAUCCAGGCCCAGAAUGAGCAAGCAGCAGCAACAUGGGAGGCACAUCAGAACCAGAUAGACCGGAGCCUAAACAGGCUGGUAACCAGCAGCAUGAAACCAGCAUGGGAGGCACAUCAGAGCCAGAAAGGCCAGAACCCGAACAGGCAGGAAACCAAAGGUGGCGGUGAGGAACCCAGGCAAGGUGGCGGCAUGUUCAUGUCCACCAGAGAACUGCUUAUGGAACGCUACACCAAGCUGUUCAACCAGGGGUGGCUAUCCAGGCAGGAGGCUGGAGGGUCCUCCAAGAGGCAGCACACUGAGAAUAAGGAUGGUGGCUCUCCAUCGAUAGCGCCGCCCCUUGCAGAUGGAGGUAGGCGCAGGCCAUUUGACAUUGACCUCAAUGCCGUGGCUCCAGAAAAGGAAUAG